rnacentral:rRNA from 1 species
GGUUUAUGAGCUAUCAGUCUCCUGCGAGGAAUGUUGCUGGCUCUCGCAUAGCGGGGGCAUGUGCACGUUCCGUCAACACAUCCACUCACACCUGUGCACCCUUUGCGGUUCUGUGGUCUGGGAGACCCUCGGUCUCUCUGCCGCGGUUCUGCGUCUUUACACAUACGCCGUAGCAAAGUCUUGUGGAAUGUGCGCCGCGUUUAACGCAAUAAAAUACAACUUUCAGCAACGGAUCUCUUGGCUCUCGCAUCGAUGAAGAACGCAGCGAAAUGCGAUAAGUAAUGUGAAUUGCAGAAUUCAGUGAAUCAUCGAAUCUUUGAACGCACCUUGCGCCCCUUGGACAUUCCGAGGGGCAUGCCUGUUUGAGUAUCAUGAACACCUCAACUCUCUACGGUUUGCCGUGGUGAGCUUGGACUUUGGAGGCUUGCUGGCCCACGGUCGGCUCCUCUCAAAUGAAUCAGCUUCCCAGUGUUUGGUGGCGUCACGGGUGUGAUAACUAUCUACGCUCGCGGCAGCCUGCCUCGUAACCUUCGGAGACGGAGGUUCGCUGGAGCUCAAAAACGUCUCUCCUCAGCGAAGACAGCUUUUUUAACGUUCGAUCUCAAAUCAGGUAGGACUACCCGCUGAACUUAAGCAUAUCAAUAAGCGGAGGAAAAGAAACUAACAAGGAUUCCCCUAGUAACUGCGAGUGAAGCGGGAAGAGCUCAAAUUUAAAAUCUGGCGUCCUCUGGUCGUCCGAGUUGUAGUCUGGAGAAGCGUUUUCCGUGCUGGACCGUGUACAAGUCUCCUGA